AGUGAACGCUGGCGGUAGGCCUAACACAUGCAAGUCGAACGGCAGCACAGUAAGAGCUUGCUCUUACGGGUGGCGAGUGGCGGACGGGUGAGGAAUACAUCGGAAUCUACUUUUUCGUGGGGGAUAACGUAGGGAAACUUACGCUAAUACCGCAUACGACCUACGGGUGAAAGCAGGGGAUCUUCGGACCUUGCGCGAUUGAAUGAGCCGAUGUCGGAUUAGCUAGUUGGCGGGGUAAAGGCCCACCAAGGCGACGAUCCGUAGCUGGUCUGAGAGGAUGAUCAGCCACGCUGGAACUGAGACACGGUCCAGACUCCUACGGGAGGCAGCAGUGGGGAAUAUUGGACAAUGGGCGCAAGCCUGAUCCAGCCAUACCGCGUGGGUGAAGAAGGCCUUCGGGUUGUAAAGCCCUUUUGUUGGGAAAGAAAAGCAGCAGGUUAAUACCCCGCUGUUCUGACGGUACCCAAAGAAUAAGCACCGGCUAACUUCGCG
rnacentral:rRNA from 1 species